AUUGUCCCAACAAGGCUGCACAAGAAACAAUCAGGAAACCUCAGCAGCAUAAAACUAUGAGAAAACUGGGUCUGAGAAUCCAGAUGUCCUGAGUGAGUAAAGGGAAAAUUUUCACUUCUUCCUGUGGAAGCCUGUCACCCUCCAGCUCCAUGCUAGGCUGAGGAAGUCUGCGUUCUUCUCUCACGGAGCUGGAGAACUUUUCAAGUGAUUGGCCUAAGAACUGGCAGCAGACGCGAUCUGGACCAAUCAGAAUCUUACAUUGAGAUGGUGGGCCUUGCUAUGUUGCUCAGGCUGGUCUUGAACUCCUGACCUCAAGUGAUCCUCCUGCCUCAGCUUCCUUGAGUAACUGGAAUUACAGGGCUCAUUCCAGUGGUCUAGGCUGCAGCUCCUGGUUGGAGUCACAUCCAGCCAUGCUUUCUGUGCCCUGAUCAGCUGGAUUAGAUUUGAAGAUUCUCAGAAUUUCAGAAUUGAGAUGCAGAGAUUCUCCGUUCAGAAGCUCAGAAUUCCCAGAUUCUCAGAAUCUCCAAAAGAGUCUCCUCCUGUUGCCGAGUCUGGAGCACAGUGGCAAGAUCUCAGCUCACUGCAACCUCUGCCUCCUGGGUUCAAAUGAUUCUCCUGCCUCAGCCUCCUGAGUAGCUGGGAUUACAGGCACGUGCCACUAUGCCUGGCUAAUUUUUGUAUUUUUACUAGAGAUGGGGUUGCACUGUGUUGGCCAGGCAGGUCUCGAACUCCUGACCUCAUGAUCUGCCCGCCUUGGUCUCCCAAAGUGCUGGGAUUACAAGCGUGAGCCACCGUGCCCGGCCAAGACUGUUAUUUUAUCUGCAGCUACACGAAGAAACAAUUGCAGCUCUAGCACUCAGCUGGAUUAAUCACAGAGUCCAAAAAACUAUUAUGCUGCUGGAGAGACCACAAGGACAAAAGCGGAGACUAUUUGAAAAACAAAGUCAUGGACUCCUACGGCUGGAGAGGACCCAGAGCCUCCCCCAACCUUCCUCUCCUCCCCUCUGCCUGCUGCCGGAUCGCACCUCACCCGCCCAGGAAAACGGGCCUCUUUGCUUUUUGAAGAACUCCAGAGGAGAGCCCCUGAUCUCCCUUGAUAACUUAUCCCAAGUCUGAUAUCCUCAUUGGCAGAGAUUAUUUUCCAGCUUAAAUCACUCGUGUGGAAGCCGAAGCUCAUUUCCUUUUGUUCUGUCCUCGCUGGAGAUGGUGAACAGCUGGUCUCCAUUCUCGGAGGAAUAUCUCUUUAAACUUUGCAGGCCAUUGUUAAGUGGCCUCUAGGCUUUCUCUUCUUCCGACUAAGAAUCAUAGCUUCUUUUCCCCAUUCCUCAUGGGUCCUAUUUUCCAGCCCCUCUCACAUCUUUGUUCUUUGAAUGCGCUCAGGUUUUUCUAAGAUAUUCCCCUUUGGAAGAUGUUUGAAGGAAAACAACAGAAGGGUCUUUAGAUGUACUAAGUACUGGCAGUCCCUCUCACCUUACCACAAGCCUCACUGUUUCCACUGGUUGAGUGGCUUCUGGGGCCUUGCCUUCCUGGGGCCAGGCUGUGCGCGAGGACCGAGCAGCUGGUCCUGUGUUGAGCUCAUUGGCUUGACCACAGGCCAGUGCUGACCCAAAGAGCAAGAGGCCCCAGCACAG